rnacentral:sRNA from 1 species
CGCAGGUUCGAAUCCUGCACGACCCACCAGUUUUAACAUCGAAGACAGAUGUUAAGCGUGUAGGAUAACGUUGCGUCAGCAACGGCCCGUAGGGCGAGCGAAGCGAGUCAUCCUGCACGACCCACCA